CACCGCGGUUAUACGAGAGGCUCAAGUUGAUAAAUACCGGCGUAAAAUGUGGUUAACAUAACACCAUACUAAAGCUAAACAUCUUCAAAGCUGUUAUACUCACACGAAGACAGGAAAACCUUCAACGAAAGUGGCUUUAAAUAAUGCUAUCCACGAAAACUAGGAAA
rnacentral:rRNA from 1 species